UACGUAGGGUGCAAGCGUUGUCCGGAAUUAUUGGGCGUAAAGAGCUCGUAGGCGGUUUGUCGCGUCUGCUGUGAAAACUGGAGGCUCAACCUCCAGCCUGCAGUGGGUACGGGCAGACUAGAGUGCGGUAGGGGAGAUUGGAAUUCCUGGUGUAGCGGUGGAAUGCGCAGAUAUCAGGAGGAACACCGGUGGCGAAGGCGGCAUCCUGGACCAUUACUGACGCUGAGGAGCGAAAGCCAGGGGAGCAAACGGG
rnacentral:rRNA from 1 species